UGCCGGCGAGUGCCGACGGGUGAGUAAUACAUCGGACGUGCCCAGUAGUGGGGGAUAGCUCGGCGAAAGCCGGAUUAAUACCGCAUACGACCUGAGGGUGAAAGCGGGGGAUCUUCGGACCUCGCGCUAUUGGAGCGGCCGAUGGCAGAUUAGCUAGUUGGUGGGGUAAAGGCCUACCAAGGCGACGAUCUGUAGCUGGUCUGAGAGGACGACCAGCCACACUGGGACUGAGACACGGCCCAGACUCCUACGGGAGGCAGCAGUGGGGAAUUUUGGACAAUGGGCGAAAGCCUGAUCCAGCAAUGCCGCGUGUGUGAUGAAGGCCUUCGGGUUGUAAAGCACUUUUGGCGGGAACGAAAAGGACUGUGCCAAUACCACGGUUCGAUGACGGUACCCGCAGAAUAAGCACCGGCU
rnacentral:rRNA from 1 species